UCCACGUCUUUCCGGGCCAGCACAGCAGUAAUGCAAAGCACUUUUCAAAGGUCCUGAUCUGACACACGGGAUUCCUUGGCUGUGGCCCAGGCUCGGCUGGUGUCCUGCCGGGAGCAGUCUCCUUCCCGGGUUGCAGAGCACCCUGCGGGCCUGCAGAAUGGGAAAGUUGCAGCACUGAGAGAAGCAGCCUUCUGAUUAUGAAACUGAAAGGAAACUGAAGCCAAAAGCCUCCAAGUACUUGUGGGAGCUGGUCCGGGAGGCCACAGCCAACACUUGCAGCUCCGUGGAGAUGAUGAUGAUGAGGGUGUGGAGACCGAAGUAAAGCCCAACUCUCCUGCUCUUCCGGCUUCCGAAGCCACAGCUGCUGCUGUUCUGCUGGCCCACCUCACGGAGAAGGCCACCUGCCGCAUCUGCCUUCAACAGACCCAGGAAUCACAGAGUGUGGCUGCAACUUCUGCUGGGCCUGCCUCUGCUGCCCCAGUGCCACCGGAGCCUCUGAGCCAAGAGCCACAAACCCAGCCGGCAGCUGAGACACGCAGUGGACAUCGCCUGGCUGCUGCAGAAGAGGCACGGUCCUUGCACCAUGAGGACUGUCAGAAGCACCUGGAGGACACGAAGCUGCAGGAGCUUGAGAAUCAUUUGAACAUCAUGAAGAGGAAGAGUUUGCUGUGAAAUUCAUGGAGGAAGGGGAAAUGAAAAGCCAGGCUCUCGUGGUGGGAUGAACGUGCUGAUAAUUCCCAACAGAGACAAGGUCUUGCUAUA